AUACGGAGGGUGCGAGCGUUAAUCGGAAUUACUGGGCGUAAAGGGUGCGCAGGUGGUUUUGUAAGUUAUCUGUGAAAGCCCCGGGCUUAACCUGGGAAAGCCAGAUAAGACUACGAGACUCGAGUACGGGAGAGGGCAGUGGAAUUUCCGGUGUAGCGGUGAAAUGCGUAGAGAUCGGAAGGAACACCAGUGGCGAAGGCGGCUGCCUGGCCUGAUACUGACACUGAGGCACGAAAGCGUGGGGAGC
rnacentral:rRNA from 1 species